rnacentral:rRNA from 1 species
AGAGUUUGAUCAUGGCUCAGAACGUACGCUGGCGGCACGCCUAACACAUGCAAGUCGAACGAAGUAGCAAUACUUAGUGGCAGACGGGUGAGUAACAUGUAGGUAUCUACCCUUUGGCCUGGAAUAACACGAGGAAACUUGUGCUAAUACCGGAUAAGUCUUUACGGAGAAAGCUUUAUGCACCAUUGGAUGAGCCUGCACUUGAUUAGUUUGUUGGUGGGGUAAUGGCCUACCAAGACUGUGAUCAAUAGCUGAUUUGAGAGGAUGAUCAGCCACAUUGGGACUGAGACACGGCCCAAACUCCUACGGGAGGCAGCAGUGGGGAAUCUUGCACAAUGGAGGAAACUCUGAUGCAGCGAUGCCGCGUGAGUGAAGAAGGCCCUUGGGUUGUAAAGCUCUUUCGUCGGGGAAGAAAAUGACUGUACCCGAAUAAGAAGGUCCGGCUAACUUCGUGCCAGCAGCCGCGGUAAUACGAAGGGACCUAGCGUAGUUCGGAAUUACUGGGCUUAAAGAGUUCGUAGGUUGUGUGAAAAAGUUAGUGGUGAAAUCCCAGAGCUUAACUCUGGAACUGCCAUUAAAACUUUUCAGCUAGAGUAUGAUAGAGGAAAGCAGAAUUUCUAGUGUAGAGGUGAAAUUCGUAGAUAUUAGAAAGAAUACCAAUUGCGAAGGCAGCUUUCUGGAUCAUUACUGACACUGAGGAACGAAAGCAUGGGUAGCGAAGAGGAUUAGAUACCCUCGUAGUCCAUGCCGUAAACGAUGUGUGUUAGACGUUGGAAAUUUAUUUUCAGUGUCGCAGCGAAAGCGAUAAACACACCGCCUGGGGAGUACGACCGCAAGGUUAAAACUCAAAUGAAUUGACGGGGACCCGCACAAGUAGUGGAGCAUGUGGUUUAAUUCGAAGAUACGCGCAGAACCUUACCAACACUUGACAUGUUCGUCGCGACUCUAAGAGAUUAGAGUUUUCGGUUCGGCCGGACGAAACACAGGUGCUGCAUGGCUGUCGUCAGCUCGUGUCGUGAGAUGUUGGGUUAAGUCCCGCAACGAGCGCAACCCUCACUUUUAGUUGCCAUCAUUUAGUUGGGCACUCUGAAAGAACUGCCAGUGAUAAGCUGGAGGAAGGUGGGGAUGACGUCAAGUCCUCAUGGCCCUUACGUGUUGGGCUACACACGUGCUACAAUGGUAUCUACAACAGGAAGCAAGACUGCGAGGUCAAGCAAAUCCUUAAAAGAUACCUCAGUUCGGAUUGCACUCUGCAACUCGAGUGCAUGAAGCUGGAAUUACUAGUAAUCGUGGAUCAGCGUGCCACGGUGAAUGCGUUCCCGGGUCUUGUACACACCGCCCGUCACACCAUGGGAGUUGGUUCUACCUUAAGGCAAGGUUUAAAAUCCUUGACCACGGUAUAGUCAGCGACUGGGGUGAAGUCGUAACAAGGUAGCCGUAGGGGAACCUGCGGCUG